ACUAGACCACGGAGGCGUAUUGGAGCCCAAUCUCAAGUGAACCCACUCACAAUGGCACACAAUUUUUUUUCUGGUAAAUUUUGUGCUUUGAAUGAAUUUGCUAACCAUUUCUGUCGAAAAACAGCACAGAUUAUUUUUCACCCCUUCCAACCUAACCUCCUCAGUAAUAAAAAAAAAGUGACAAAAUCAUAGCCUUGAGGCAGUAAUAUUCAGCCCCAGCAUCAAAAAAAUUAUACUGCUGCCCUAUGAAAGGCAUCUCUUAACUCCGAUGAAGUAGGUGGUGACUGUGGUGGAGCAGCUUCAUUGUCAUCCCUUGCAGUGGCAGGUGUCAUUGGGCCAGCAGAUGAUGAAGCAGUGGCUGGUGUCAUUGGGCCAGCAGAUGAUGAAGCAGUGGCUGGUGUCAUAGGGCCAGCAGAUGAUGAAGCAGUGGCUGGUGUCAUAGGGCCAGCAGAUGAUGAAGCAGUGGCUGGUGUCAUAGGGCCAGCAGAUGAUGAAGCAGUGGCUGGUGUCAUAGGGCCAGCAGAUGAUGAAGCAGUGGCUGGUGUCAUAGGGCCAGCAGAUGAUGAAGCAGUGGCUGGUGUCAUAGGGCCAGCAGAUGAUGAAGCAGUGGCUGGUGUCAUAGGGCCAGCAGAUGAUGAAGCAGUGGCUGGUGUCAUUGGGCCAGCAGAUGAUGAAGCAGUGGCUGGUGUCAUUGGGCCAGCAGAUGAUGAAGCAGUGGCUGGUGUCAUUGGGCCAGCAGAUGAUGAAGCAGUGGCUGGUGUCAUUGGGCCAGCAGAUGAU